rnacentral:rRNA from 1 species
GGUAAAGGCCUACCAAGGCGACGAUCUAUAGCCGACCUGAGAGGGUGAUCGGCCACACUGGAACUGAGACACGGUCCAGACUCCUACGGGAGGCAGCAGUGGGGAAUAUUGCACAAUGGGGGAAACCCUGAUGCAGCAACGCCGCGUGAGCGAUGAAGGCUUUCGAGUCGUAAAGCUCUGUCCUAAGGGAAGAAUAAUGACGGUACCUUAGGAGGAAGCCCCGGCUAACUACGUGCCAGCAGCCGCGGUAAUACGUAGGGGGCAAGCGUUAUCCGGAAUCACUGGGCGUAAAGGGUGCGUAGGCGGCUAAUCAAGCCAGGGGUGAAAGGCUACGGCUUAACCGUAGUAAGCCUUUGGAACUGAUUAGCUUGAGUGCAGGAGAGGAGAGUGGAAUUCCUAGUGUAGCGGUGAAAUGCGUAGAUAUUAGGAGGAACACCAGUGGCGAAGGCGACUCUCUGGACUGUAACUGACGCUGAGGCACGAAAGCGUGGGGAGCAAACAGGAUUAGAUACCCUGGUAGUCCACGCCGUAAACGAUGAGUGCUAGGUGUCGGGGGUUCACACCCUCGGUGCCGGAGUUAACGCAAUAAGCACUCCGCCUGGGGAGUACGGUCGCAAGACUGAAACUCAAAGGAAUUGACGGGGACCCGCACAAGCAGCGGAGCAUGUGGUUUAAUUCGAAGCAACGCGAAGAACCUUACCAGGACUUGACAUCCCUUUGACCAGUCCUUAAUCGGACUUUUCCCUUCGGGGACAAAGGAGACAGGUGGUGCAUGGUUGUCGUCAGCUCGUGUCGUGAGAUGUUGGGUUAAGUCCCGCAACGAGCGCAACCCUUAUUUUUAGUUGCCAUCAGGUAAUGCUGGGCACUCUAGAGAGACUGCCGGUGAUAAACCGGAGGAAGGUGGGGAUGACGUCAAAUCAUCAUGCCCCUUAUGUUCUGGGCUACACACGUGCUACAAUGGCUGGUACAACGGGAAGCUAAGGAGCAAUCUGGAGCAAAUCCUAUAAAGCCAGUCCCAGUUCGGAUUGUGGGCUGAAACUCGCCCACAUGAAGUCGGAGUUGCUAGUAAUCGUGAAUCAGAAUGUCGCGGUGAAUGCGUUCCCGGGUCUUGUACACACCGCCCGUCACACCAUGGGAGUUGGGAGCACCCGAAGUCAGCUAUCUAACGCGAAAGCGAAGAGGUG